ensembl:misc_RNA Metazoa_SRP Metazoan signal recognition particle RNA
GCUGGGCGUGGUGGCGCGUGCCUGUAAUCCCAGUUACUCAGGAGGCUGAGGCAGGAGAAUUGCUUGAACCCAGGAGGCGAGGUUGCAGUGGGCUGAGAUCGCCCCAUUGCACUCCAGCCUGGGUGACAGAGCGAGAGUCUGUCUCAA